GUCGGGUGUGGUGGCUCAGACCUGUAAUCCCAGCAGCUCAGGAGACUGAGAUAGGAGGAUUGUGAAUUCAAAACUAUACUCAGAAAUGGAGGCAAUAAGCAACUCGGUGAGACCCUGUCUCUA
rnacentral:sRNA from 1 species